rnacentral:lncRNA from 1 species
UUUCUAUCCUAAAUUUCUCAUGUUCUUCUUAUUUUUUGUUGAAAGUAUUUUUUAUUUAUAAAAGGAUUUCUUUUUUGUUGUAUAUUUUUAUACUGGGGAAGUUAUUUUCUUUGAAAUAAAAGACAAGUUAAGGACAGUGGGUGGAAGAAAAUAGAAAUAAAAGGGAUUUAACGGGAGAAGGGAGGGUGCAGAGGAAGUGAAGUCUGUGGAAGAAGAGAAAGAGAGAAGGGUGCGAAAAGAAAAAAUAAGGAGUUUAAAAGAGAGUUAUAAAUAACAAAGCCCACUUUAGACGUGCUGAAGCUUUGUGUGGGGGCAAAAACUUGUUUAAGUCCCAAGAAACAUGUUUUUGUUUCAUUGUUUAAUUUAUAAAUAAGUCACUUUUUGUAACAAAAAAAAAAGGAAAUAUG